GGACGAACGCUGGCGGCGUGCCUAACACAUGCAAGUCGAGCGGGGACAUAUUGACGGAACGGAAGUUUCGGAUGGAAGGGAAGAUGAUGUGUUCUAGCGGCGGACGGGUGAGUAACGCGUGAGCAACCUGUCCUUCACAGGGGGAUAACACAGCGAAAGUUGUACUAAUACCGCAUGAGACCACAACGGGACAUCCCGCAGGGGUCAAAGGAGUAAUCCGGUGAAGGGUGGGCUCGCGUCCGAUUAGAUAGUUGGUGAGGUAACGGCCCACCAAGUCGACGAUCGGUAGCCGACCUGAGAGGGUGAUCGGCCACAUUGGGACUGAGACACGGCCCAAACUCCUACGGGAGGCAGCAGUGGGGAAUAUUGGGCAAUGGGCGCAAGCCCUGACCCAGCAACGCCGCGUGAAGGAUGAAGGUCUUCGGAUUGUAAACUUCUUUGAUUGGGGAAGAAUAAAUGACCUACCCAAAGAACAAGCCACGGCUAACUACGUGCCAGCCGCCGC
rnacentral:rRNA from 1 species